UACGUAGGGUGCGAGCGUUGUCCGGAAUUAUUGGGCGUAAAGAGCUCGUAGGCGGUUUGUCGCGUCGACUGUGAAAACCUACAGCUUAACUGUGGGCUUGCAGUCGAUACGGGCAGACUUGAGUUCGGUAGGGGAGACUGGGAAAUUCCUGGUGUAGCGGUGAAAUGCGCAGAUAUCAGGAGGAACACCGGUGGCGAAGGCGGGUCUCUGGGCCGAUACUGACGCUGAGGAGCGAAAGCGUGGGGAGCGAACAGG
rnacentral:rRNA from 1 species